rnacentral:rRNA from 1 species
GACGAACGCUGGCGGCGUGCCUAAUACAUGCAAGUAGGACGGGUUGCGAACGGUUGAGUAACCGUUGGUAACCUGCCUAUUCGAGGGGGAUAACUACUUGAAACGGUAGCUUAUACCGCAUACGAUCUGCUUUGCACAGAUGGGAUUAGCUAGUAGGUGGGGUAAAAUCGCACGUAGGCUACCAUCCCUGGCUGGUGUGAGAGGAUGAGCAGCCACACUGGAACUGAGACACGCUCCAAGGGCCUACGGAAUUCGCCAUUGGGGAAUAUGGCACAAUGGGUGAAAGCUUGAUGCAGCCAUGCCGCGUGUAUGAAGAAGGCCUUCGGGUUGUAAAGUACUUUCAGCCGGGAGGCGUUACCCGCAGAAGAAGCAACGGCUAACUCCGUGCCAGCAGCCGCGGUAAUUC